AAGAAUGGUGAACAUAAAGAGUCUCAGUCUC
rnacentral:piRNA from 1 species